UUUACAUCUAAAAAGCGUGGCGACAUCAGCUGAGAUUUGCAGUGGAUUUAAAUGCAAUAACCACACAAUCUUUAAAGAAAAUUUGGAUAAGAUAAGAGACAAGGCGUUGCUUCUCCCUUUUAUGAGAAUAUGAGGACAUUACUUCAGAAAAUGUCAGAAAACAGAGACGAUUUGCACCAGCUCCGUAGAUCCAUCACUGUAAUAUUCCAGGCCAGCUGUCCAGAGUUUCAGGCUUAAAGAACAUGGAGAAUGAAUAAAUAAAAAAUGUAUCAUUUCUCCACAGGGCCUAGCUAUUCCCAAAUGUUGGACUAAUGGAUUCAUUCAGGCAGCAAGUUAAUCCAUCAUUUAAGGAAACUGAAUUCAUUUUAUCCACAAGAACAUGAGGUGAUGGAAAUAAUUUACACCUCCCC